GACGAACGCUGGCGGCGUGCUUAACACAUGCAAGUCGAACGGAAAGGCCCUGCUUUUGUGGGGUGCUCGAGUGGCGAACGGGUGAGUAACGCGUGAGUAACCUGCCCUUGACUUUGGGAUAACUUCAGGAAACUGGGGCUAAUACCGGAUAGGAGCUCCUGCUGCAUGGUGGGGGUUGGAAAGUUUCGGCGGUUGGGGAAGGACUCGCGGCUUAUCAGCUUGUUGGUGGGGUAGUGGCUUACCAAGGCUUUGACGGGUAGCCGGCCUGAGAGGGUGACCGGCCACAUUGGGACUGAGAUACGGCCCAGACUCCUACGGGAGGCAGCAGUGGGGAAUAUUGCACAAUGGGCGGAAGCCUGAUGCAGCAACGCCGCGUGCGGGAUGACGGCCUUCGGGUUGUAAACCGCUUUCGCCUGUGACGAAGCGUGAGUGACGGUAAUGGGUAAAGAAGCACCGGCUAACUACGUG
rnacentral:rRNA from 1 species